rnacentral:tRNA from 1 species
UCCAGGUGGCAGAGUGGUAAAGAAUCUGCCUGCAAAGCAGGAGACCCAGGUUCGAUCCCUGGGUGUGGAA